rnacentral:rRNA from 2 species
AUCAUGCAGUCGACGAACUCUGGUAUUGAUUGGUGCUUGCAUCAUGAUUUACAUUUGAGUGAGUGGCGAACUGGUGAGUAACACGUGGGAAACCUGCCCAGAAGCGGGGGAUAACACCUGGAAACAGAUGCUAAUACCGCAUAACAACUUGGACCGCAUGGUCCGAGUUUGAAAGAUGGCUUCGGCUAUCACUUUUGGAUGGUCCCGCGGCGUAUUAGCUAGAUGGUGGGGUAACGGCUCACCAUGGCAAUGAUACGUAGCCGACCUGAGAGGGUAAUCGGCCACAUUGGGACUGAGACACGGCCCAAACUCCUACGGGAGGCAGCAGUAGGGAAUCUUCCACAAUGGACGAAAGUCUGAUGGAGCAACGCCGCGUGAGUGAAGAAGGGUUUCGGCUCGUAAAACUCUGUUGUUAAAGAAGAACAUAUCUGAGAGUAACUGUUCAGGUAUUGACGGUAUUUAACCAGAAAGCCACGGCUAACUACGUGCCAGCAGCCGCGGUAAUACGUAGGUGGCAAGCGUUGUCCGGAUUUAUUGGGCGUAAAGCGAGCGCAGGCGGUUUUUUAAGUCUGAUGUGAAAGCCUUCGGCUCAACCGAAGAAGUGCAUCGGAAACUGGGAAACUUGAGUGCAGAAGAGGACAGUGGAACUCCAUGUGUAGCGGUGAAAUGCGUAGAUAUAUGGAAGAACACCAGUGGCGAAGGCGGCUGUCUGGUCUGUAACUGACGCUGAGGCUCGAAAGUAUGGGUAGCAAACAGGAUUAGAUACCCUGGUAGUCCAUACCGUAAACGAUGAAUGCUAAGUGUUGGAGGGUUUCCGCCCUUCAGUGCUGCAGCUAACGCAUUAAGCAUUCCGCCUGGGGAGUACGGCCGCAAGGCUGAAACUCAAAGGAAUUGACGGGGGCCCGCACAAGCGGUGGAGCAUGUGGUUUAAUUCGAAGCUACGCGAAGAACCUUACCAGGUCUUGACAUACUAUGCAAAUCUAAGAGAUUAGACGUUCCCUUCGGGGACAUGGAUACAGGUGGUGCAUGGUUGUCGUCAGCUCGUGUCGUGAGAUGUUGGGUUAAGUCCCGCAACGAGCGCAACCCUUAUUAUCAGUUGCCAGCAUUAAGUUGGGCACUCUGGUGAGACUGCCGGUGACAAACCGGAGGAAGGUGGGGAUGACGUCAAAUCAUCAUGCCCCUUAUGACCUGGGCUACACACGUGCUACAAUGGAUGGUACAACGAGUUGCGAACUCGCGAGAGUAAGCUAAUCUCUUAAAGCCAUUCUCAGUUCGGAUUGUAGGCUGCAACUCGCCUACAUGAAGUCGGAAUCGCUAGUAAUCGCGGAUCAGCAUGCCGCGGUGAAUACGUUCCCGGGCCUUGUACACACCGCCCGUCACACCAUGAGAGUUUGUAACACCCAAAGUCGGUGGGGUAACCUUUUAGGAACCAGCCGCCAAGUGA